rnacentral:rRNA from 1 species
UACGUAGGUGACAAGCGUUAUCCGGAAUUACUGGGCGUAAAGCGCACGCAGGCGGCGCGGUAAGUCUGAUGUGAAAUCUCCCGGCUUAACUGGGAGGGGUCAUUGGAAACUGCCGAGCUUGAGGCGAUGAGAGGGGUGUAGAAUUCCCGGUGUAGUGGUGGAAUGCGUAGAUAUCGGGAGGGAAUACCAGUGGCGAAAAGCGGGCACCCCUGGCAUUUAGCCCUGACGCGUCAUGUGCGAAGGCGUGGGGGAGCGAACGGGG